rnacentral:tRNA from 1 species
CCGCCGUUAGCUCAGUUGGAUAGAGCACUAGCCUUCUAAGCUAGGUGUCACUGGUUCGAUUCCAGUACGGCGGACCA